rnacentral:rRNA from 1 species
UACAUGUGGGGCAAGCGUUGUUCGGAAUUACUGGGCAUAAAGGGUGCGUAGGCGGCUUGUUAAGUCAGGGGUGAAAGUUUUCGGCCCAACCGGAAAAUUGCCUUUGAUACUGGCGAGCUCGAGUGCGUGAGGGGUAACCGGAACGAGUGGUGUAGCGGUGAAAUGCGUAGAUAUCACUCGGAAGGCCAAAGGCGAAGGCAGGUUACUGGUACGCAACUGACGCUGAGGCACGAAAGCGUGGGUAGCGAACGGG